rnacentral:tRNA from 1 species
GGCCUCGGUGGCCGAGACAGUCCAAGGUAUCAGGGGUGCAACCCUGAGGAUGUCGGUGCAAGUCCGACCCGAGCCCCCA